AGUAUUUUAGUUGCAUUUAAGGGUAAAUUAGUCAGUUUGUGUAUUUAACCCACUCCCCGAAUUAGAGGCGCGAGAUUUCAGGGGUCACUCAAUUACAUAAUCCGUCUACUCAUUUAAAUCAUUUCAAACCUUUCCACUCUCUUUCCAAUUCAUACAACUUCUCAAUUUUGCUGCGUUCACUUCCAAAAACCUCCAAAAACACAUUGUCAAAUCAAAAUCCUAGCCCAAUCCCGCCGUUGACCACAAUCUCGGCGACAAUAAAGUCCAGUUUUUUCCAACAGAGUGCGAACCGCGCAUCAACCGACCACCAAUUCGAUAAAUGGCUAAAAGACGAGCAAUUUCGAACACCACAGAGCCUAACGUCGAAGAAUCUUCGUGAAUUGGACCAUUAUCAUGAUUUCGAAAAUUUUAUUCAAUUAAUUUGUUUCUUUAUAUUCUGAUGCUCGUGUAUAUGAGUGUUGAUGUAAAAAUAUAAGAGAAUGAAUUUGUGGAA